UGGACCGAUGAUGACAACUGCCGGCGUAUGAGUCGAGGAUCAUGAAUGGCCUGUGUCUGGAACUCUGAGGUCCGA